AACAACUCACCUGCCGAAUGAACUAGCCCUGAAAAUGGAUGACGCUUAAGCGGAUUGCCGACACCAGACCGUUUUGGUAAGAAGCGACCAGAAUGAGUAGGAGGGCGUGGCGGUUUUGUUGAGAAGGAUGAGACGCAAGUCUAUCUGAAACGGCCGCUAGUGCAGAUCUUGGUGGUAGUAGCAAAUAUUCAAGCGAGAUCCUUGAAGGGCGAAGCGGGGAAGGGUUCCACGCGAACAUUGAUUGGGCGUGGGUGAGUCGUUCCUAAGCCGGGUGGUAAUCGUUCUUCGAUCGGCGAAAGGGAAGCGGGUUAAAAUUCUCGCACACGGAUGUGGAAGCGGUGACGCAAAUUGAGGUGGAGACGUUAGCGAUGGCACUGGGCAGAGUUGUCUUUUCUGUUUAACCUGUGAGUGCACUCUGUGGAAUCCGAUUAUCGGGAGAAACAGGUGCUUAUGGGAAGAGCGUCGGGGCGUCCCCGGCGUCCAGUACGCCAUCGAUAGCCCCUGAAAAUCCAUCUGCAAUGAAAUUUCACGCCGUGGCGUACCGAUAACCGCAUCAGGUCCCCAAGGUGAACAGCCUCUGCUCAAUAUGAACAAU
rnacentral:rRNA from 1 species